rnacentral:rRNA from 1 species
UACGUAGGGGGCAAGCGUUGUCCGGAAUCAUUGGGCGUAAAGCGCGUGUAGGCGGCUUCGUAAGUCCGUUGUGAAAGUCCAGGGCUCAACCCUGGAAUGCCGAUGGAUACUGCGGAGCUAGAGUCCGGAAGAGGCGAGUGGAAUUCCUGGUGUAGCGGUGAAAUGCGCAGAUAUCAGGAGGAACACCAAUGGCGAAGGCAGCUCGCUGGGACGGUACUGACGCUGAGGCGACGAGAACGUGGGGAGCAAACAGG